rnacentral:rRNA from 1 species
UACGGAGGGUGCAAGCGUUAUCCGGAUUUAUUGGGUUUAAAGGGUCCGUAGGCGGACUGGUAAGUCAGUGGUGAAAUCUCAUAGCUUAACUAUGAAACUGCCAUUGAUACUGUUAGUCUUGAGUAUAGUUGAGGUAGCUGGAAUAAGUAGUGUAGCGGUGAAAUGCAUAGAUAUUACUUAGAACACCAAUUGCGAAGGCAGGUUACCAAGUUAUAACUGACGCUGAGGGACGAAAGCGUGGGGAGCGAACAGG